rnacentral:rRNA from 1 species
UGGGGGAUAUUGCACAAUGGGCGAAAGUCUGAUGCAGCGACGCAGCGUGGGUGAUGACGGCAUUCGGGUUGUAAACCUCUUUCGCUAUCGAACAAGGCCCGCUUAGGGUGGGUUGAGGGUAGGUGGAGAAGAAGCGCCGGCUAACUACGUGACAGCAGUCGCGGUAAUACGUAGGGCGCGAGCGUUGUCCGGAAUCAUUGGGCGUAAAGGGCUUUUAGGCGGCUUGUUGCGCCUGCUGUGAAAACGCGGGGCUUAACUUCGCGCGUGCAGUGAGUACGGGCGGGCUUGAGUGUGGUAGGGGGGAGUAGAAUUCCAGGUGUAGCGGUGGAAUGCGAAGAUAUCUGGAGGAACAACGAUGGCGAAGGAAGGUCACUGGGACAUUACUGACGCUGAGGAGCGAAAGCAUGGGUAGCGAACAGG